GAUUGAAGGAUCUGUUUUUAUGUUGAUUCAACACACUUUCAGUCCCAAUCUAUUAUUUGAUUAGAUUAUUGAGUCGCUUGUUUCUUUCGACUUUCCUUGCAAUUUUUCGAUGUAAAUCAGGUUCAAAUGUGAUUGAAAAAAAGCGGAAAAAGAUAUUGGAUAAUGCUUUGAUGCAGUUAUUAACA